rnacentral:lncRNA from 1 species
GGAACAGUCGUUGUUGGAUGAAAUGACUUGAUGAUGUCGUUGGACGAAAUGACUUGAUGAUGUCUUUAGACCUUGUGAUCGAAUGCGAGGACUCGAAAACGAUAUGAUAAUGUCGGUGGGAUGGCCGUUGUAAGUCCGGGUGGUCCAAAGUAACAUAUGUCAUGGAGGACCACCUGUACAAGACUUUAAGAGACUUCUAGAGAGGAUACUGGAGCAGGACAAGGCGCCGUCUCUGCGGGGAGCACAACGGAUGGACGGACGUCAGUCCUGGGACCACCUGGAUGAAUCGGAAGGGCCUCAGCUUCAUCCUGGAGAUGUCUAGCAGAAGGUCGGAGCUGAAGCGUCUCGAUCUGUCGUUUACGCGUCAGAGAGGUUUCCGCCGCCCUCAGCCACACCGGGAGAGAGAGAGACCCUCGAACCCGAGCUGGGCGCUCAACUCUAGCAGGCGUUUGGAAUGAAAAAGCAGCUGUCUUGCGGAACAAGUCUCGAACGCCUCCGGGCAGCUGUGACUUGAACUCGGAGGAAAGAAGAGCAGCUGGUGAAGUGACCCGGAGUCCUCGAUCGUACUGGAAUAAACGAGUGGGUUUGAGCGCUUUGAUUCCCA